rnacentral:snRNA from 1 species
GGAAGAGUUAUCUUUUCUGUU